AUUAAUGGCCAUGCCACUCUGAACAAGCCCAAUCCUGUCUGAUCUUGGAAGCUAAGCAAGGUCGGGAUUGGUUAGUACUUGGAUGGGAAACCACCUAGGAAGACCAAGUGCUGUAGGUG
rnacentral:rRNA from 1 species